AGGGUGACGAAGCCAUAAGGUGUGAUGAUGUGUGAAAUGUGAAUAAAUUUAAAAUUAAAAGUGUCUAUAUACCUGAGUACGCAGUGAGUGGGUUUGGACCCAUUUCACGCGUGAUACAGAGCAUAAGUAAAGUACAGUAAGGUAAGAUAAUGAUUAUACCAUCAAAAUGAGUCACAUGAACUGGGAAGUGCCACAAAUCCUCGUCGAUACGAAAAUUUUCUACUAGAACCUGGAGGGGUGCAAAAAUAGAAAGUGUGAGUGAGCGACACAAAGAUUUCCAAAAUCAAUUCAAUUGUCAAGGGUAAUAGCUCCUCGCCGUAGAUAUGUAUGAUUGACGGAAAAUGAUACUAUGUAUAAGUAUGAAAUCAAAUGCAUACUAACAGUAAAUUCAAAAGUAUAACACGACACAACAUCUCAUCAGCAUUUGAAUAAUCAUUUGUUUAAUAACUCAUACUAGCACGCACGUCAGAGUCACCUCUAAUGACCUAUACGACUAUUCUCAUAUCUCAUCAAUCAAUGCUAGCCCAUAUCAAUUAAUGCUAGCUCAUAAGUCGGAGUCACCUCUAGUGACAUGUACGACUAUAAUCAUAUCUCAUCAAUCAAUGCUAGCUCAUAAUGCUAGCUCAUAAGUCGGAGUCACCUCUAGUGACCUGUACGACUAUAAUCAUAUCUCAUCAAUCAAUGCUAGCUCAUAAGUCAAUCUAGCCAGAGUCACCUAAAGUGACAUGUACGGCACCGCACCUGCACACGAGUCGGAACCACCUAAGGUGGUCUGUACGACAGGACUGGGUGUAAAUAUAUAUUUAUAUAUAUUUACACUCAAGUGAUACGAUCACGUGAAGACUGUGCAAAUAAUCACAUGUCACCUACGAGUUGGAGCCACCUAUAGUGGUCUGUACGACAGGACUGUACACCUACCUUGGAUCCAUGGUGAGUGUAAGCUGCGGGAGGUGAACAUCACGUGAAGGAAUGUGCACUGGCCACGGGCGGCGGCACUAACACCGGGGUGCAGAUUUAUGUGCUCUAAAUGCAUCUAAUACAAUAUGUACGACUCAUGGGCAACAUGUACGACAAGUUCGGAGUUGCCUAAAACAUAAAUGUAGUCAUAUCAUAAUCCCAUCAUUUCAACUAAUACUAUAUACUCACUUGAACUUACAUGUGCAUCAUGCGUUCACCUUUGCACUUCAGAGCGUUUACCUUUAAUUAUGUGCAAGUAACAUACAUAUGGAUAUACCAGGAUGUAAAUCCAAAAUUCAACCAUCUCAUAAUAUUUCCAAAUAUAUAAAUAUAUAUACAAAUGGCAUAAAAUGCAUAAGCUGUAUUGCCCCACUCCCGAACUAUUUACCUUCGGAAAUAAUUAUCGGUAAUAAGCCAAACUAAACAUUAGUUUAAUUAACUAUCAUUACUAACUAUUUUUCACUUCGAUGUUACGAUUCUUCACACAUUGAUUUAUAACCAACAUUUAACCAUUAAAACAUAAUGUUAAAUCUCAAUUUUCGACCAAUCUCCUUCACAUUGCUCAAUUUCCCAAACAAGGUUAUUGUCUCGAUUAUUUAGUCUUAUUUAUUGUAUGGCUGCAUCUAACGACUCGCUAGACUGCCUACAUACCCUAAACAUGGAUCAAGUCAUUCGUAGUUCACAGUAAUUAUAUGAAUUAUUCAAUUUAUAAACGUUGUGAAAUUAUCAAUCACAUAUAUGUAUAUACGAUAGAAAGGAAAAAACCCACUCACCUCAGGCCCACACUUUGAUUCUCUAGCAUGCGCAUCAAGGCGUCUCGAACGACUGGCACCUUAUACUUGUGGCCAAGUCCAAUUUGGCCGAGAAAAGCUCCAAUUGUCUCGAAACCCGUUGGAACCCUAG
rnacentral:lncRNA from 1 species